GGUGAGGUGUCCGAGUGGCCGAAGGAGCACGCCUGGAAAGUGUGUGUACCGCAAGGUACCGAGGGUUCGAAUCCCUCCCUCACCGCCA
rnacentral:tRNA from 1 species